rnacentral:lncRNA from 10 species
GAUAUCACCGCUAAUUAAGUCCUGAUCCCCUGGCUCCACUUGAAACAAACCAAGGAGGGAUCAAGUUUUGCGAGCAGGUGCUAACUGGUUGCAAAAGAGGAGUCCAUCACUUCAGCAAAAGGUUUCACUGUACCUUGGGGAGGACACAGCUUUUCUGAGGAAAGUCAUUACUGGACAGAGCCAUAGGCUCUUAUUUUGUCUUAGGACACGGAGGAGCUUGUAAAAAACAAAAAAACACAAAAAACAAUCCUCCGCUGUGACAAACAACUGUUUUCCUUUCCUGUGUUUUCCCCUUGAUGGCUGAUUUACUUUCUCCUCAGAUGGACAAUGGAGUAAUUUACAGGUGGAUACCCUGAGGUGGAGAAGAGACUGAAUAUGCCCACUGCAUCCAAAGCAAGGCUGGAGCUGACUUGAGCUUACUUGGCUUCAUAAAGCUUGAACACCAUAGAUGCUUUUAUAUGUCUUUCCUGUUCGAUUACUCUGGAUAGAGUGUGCUACUCCUAACACAAAGCAAAACCAAACCAAAAAACAAACCUCUCUUUUUCAUUUCCUUAAAGAAAAAAGAAAUUUAAUUUGGAUUCAGAUAAUACCCUUAUAACUUCUAAGGCAGUCAAGCAAGGAGGGGAACAGAUAAUUAGGAGAUGAUGGGAGCCAGCACAAAGCCAAAUGGAAGAAAACAGGCACACAGUAAGGCGGCAAAAGCCACCACCUAAUCCAUUAACAGCCUGCACUAUAAUUACGCUUGGCUCUGGCAUUAAACUGGUGAAAGCACAAAGGAGACACUAUUAAAGUCUUAAUUCCCACAAAAGGAAGCUCAUCCUGUGUAACAGCAAGUACUGUGCACCAAAGCGGCACCUAAAUGAAUAUUAUGGCAAAUUCUAAUUUAGCACUUAGUAGGAGCAUUCCACAAAAUUGCAAAAAUAAAGAGGAAGAAAGCUGAACGUGGUAAUUCAUGCCUGUAGUCCCAGCUACUCAGGAGGCUGAGGCAGGAGGAUUGCCUGAGCCCAAGAGUUUGAGGCUAGCCUGGACAACAUAGCAAGACUUUCAUCUCUACACAAAAUUAUUAGCUGGAUGUGGUGGCAUGUACCUGUAGUACCAGCUGGUCGAGAGGCUGAGACAAGAAGAUUGCUUGAGCCCAGGAGUUCAAAGUCAGCCUGGGCAACAUAGCGAGACCCUGUUUCUCAAAAAUAAUUAGAAAAAUAAAUAAAGGAGAAGAAAAGACUAGGUGGUGUUUCUUUAAAGGCAGUUCUUGCUGUUGCUCUAUGGGUUCACUUUCUCCCCAACCCCCAACCUUCUCAACCUUUCUCCAACCUCUCCAGCCCUCCCCAGCCCUCCCCAGCCUGUGUCUCUGCCCUCCCCAACCCCUCAUCGUCAGAUGGUUUUAAGCAUGUGGCUUCCUGAAAGCUGUGGGUCAGGAGGUAGCAGCAGGCCAAGUCUUCCUCCUUCGGCAGAAGGAGGAGCAGUGUGAGGUGCAAGUGGGCAGAGGCAGAGACUGAAAGUUCUUGAGGAGAACAGGUGUGAGGCCACAGGAAGCUCCACCAGGCACCUGGCUGCACAGUGACUUUUGCAGUGACAGUGCUUCAGCCUCCUUCCACGGGACCGCAGGAUUCAAAAUGGCAUCACCUCCACUUCUGUCAAUACAUCCGCAAGAGGGCUAGCA